rnacentral:rRNA from 1 species
UACGGAGGGUGCGAGCGUUAAUCGGAAUUACUGGGCGUAAAGAGUGCGUAGGUGGUUUGAUAAGUUAGCUGUGAAAUUCCUGGGCUCAACCUGGGCAUUGCAGCUAAUACUGUUGGACUUGAGUAUGGGAGAGGGUAGUGGAAUUUCCGGUGUAGCGGUGAAAUGCGUAGAGAUCGGAAGGAACACCAGUGGCGAAGGCGGCUUCCUGGUCUGCGACUGACGCUGUGGCGCGAAAGCUAGGGGAGCAAACGGG